UACAGGGGGGGCAAGCGUUGUUCGGAAUUACUGGGCGUAAAGGGUCUGUAGGUGGCCAACUAAGUCAGACGUGAAAUCCCUCAGCUUAACUGGGGAACUGCGUCUGAUACUGGAUAGCUUGAGUGUGGGAGAGGAAUGCGGAAUUCCAGGUGUAGCGGUGAAAUGCGUAGAUAUCUGGAGGAACACCGGUGGCGAAGGCGGCAUUCUGGACCGUAACUGACGCUGAGGCACGAAAGCGUGGGUAGCAAACAGG
rnacentral:rRNA from 1 species